rnacentral:lncRNA from 1 species
GGUACGGUCCUAGCGGAACGCCUUCCCCACAGCCAAUCCGAGGGCGUUCUUGGCGCGGCCCCGCCCCCCCUGAACCGCCUGCCAGUGGGCGGGCCCUACCGGACUGCUCCGGGCUUCCCUCCUUAACCCCUUCCCUCUCCGACCUUCCUGGUUUAACCUUGUCUGCUCCGCUCCUUCGUUCUGUCUUCCCUUCGCACCCCGCUUGUAAAAACUGGGCUUUGGCUUCUCUUUUACCUUUGGUUUUUCUUUCCCGCUUUUCUCAGUCAGGUUCCUCAAACUUCAUUUUGUUUGAGACCGUGUUCAGGAAGCCAGGAAGCUUCUUCCCUGCCCAGGUGAAGCGGUAAGGCAUUUAGCAGAAGGCUUUUGAGGGAAGCAUGGCUGCCCCAGGGACGUGCUAGAGCAUCAUGGGGAUGAUGGUCAAGUAUCUUAUGCCUACCCCUGUCCACAAAGAUUCGAAUUUACUACUUGUUGUGGGCUGGGAUCCCAGCAAGGGUAUUUUCAAAAAGCUCCUAGUUGAUUCUAGUUUGUAAACGAAGCUGAAAGCCAGUGUCCUACAAAUACCUAAACCAGGACUACUUUAAUAGGUUGAAUUGUGUGAAACUGCCAUCUUUAUAGGGCAAAAAUCAAUUGAAUGGCAAUUUUAUAUGGUUCAAUCAAUAUACGGGC